rnacentral:rRNA from 1 species
AGGUUACUGCUAUCGGUGUUCGCCUAAGCCAUGCGAGUCAUAUGUUCUUCGUGAACAUGGCGUACUGCUCAGUAACACGUGGAUAACCUGCCCUUGGGUCCGGCAUAACCCCGGGAAACUGGGGAUAAUUCCGGAUAACGCACAUAUGCUGGAAUGCUUUAUGCGUCAAAUGGAUUCGUCCGCCCAAGGAUGGGUCUGCGGCCUAUCAGGUAGUGGUGGGUGUAAUGUACCUACUAGCCUACGACGGGUACGGGUUGUGAGAGCAAGAGCCCGGAGAUGGAUUCUGAGACAUGAAUCCAGGCCCUACGGGGCGCAGCAGGCGCGAAAACUUUACAAUGCGGGAAACCGUGAUAAGGGGACACCGAGUGCCAGCAUCAUAUGCUGGCUGUCCGGGUGUGUAAAAUACACCUGUUAGCAAGGGCCGGGCAAGACCGGUGCCAGCCGCCGCGGUAACACCGGCGGCCCGAGUGGUGAUCGUGAUUAUUGGGUCUAAAGGGUCCGUAGCCGGUUUGGUCAGUCCUCCGGGAAAUCUGACGGCUUAACCGUUAGGCUUUCGGGGGAUACUGCCAGACUUGGAACCGGGAGAGGUAAGGGGUACUACAGGGGUAGGAGUGAAAUCUUGUAAUCCCUGUGGGACCACCUGUGGCGAAGGCGUCUUACCAGAACGGGUUCGACGGUGAGGGACGAAAGCUGGGGGCACGAACCGGAUUAGAUACCCGGGUAGUCUCAGCCGUAAACGAUGCUCGCUAGGUGUCAGGCAUGGCGCGACCGUGUCUGGUGCCGCAGGGAAGCCGUGAAGCGAGCCACCUGGGAAGUACGGCCGCAAGGCUGAAACUUAA